GACGAACGCUGGCGGCGUGCUUAACACAUGCAAGUCGAGCGAGGUUCAACCGGCGGCAACACCGGGGAAGACCUAGCGGCGAACGGGUGAGUAACACGUGAGCAACCUGUCCCGGAGUCUGGGAUAACACCGGGAAACCGGUGCUAAUACCGGAUACCCCCACCGGACCGCAUGGUCUGGUGAGGAAAGAUUUAUUGCUUCGGGAGGGGCGUCGCGGGCUAUCAGCUUGUUGGUGAGGUAACGGCUCACCAA
rnacentral:rRNA from 1 species